AUCACUACUAUUGGUUAGGCACAUUGGCCAUGCCACCUUACCUUUGAGCUCCUUCUAUCGUCCAACUAUGCCAUACGCUUCUAGGUGCACUAAAUAUUGGAUCAGACACUUCAUCUUCCUUGUCUAUUUAGAUUUUUGGUGUUAUUGGUAAAAGUUGUUCCAGUUUUCUUUGGUCUAGGAAUUGAGUUGUUGUUAAGUCAUCCAUAAAAAUAUGGAAGAAGCUCAAUUAAAAGGAAUCUUAGAUUUUUUCUAUGAUCCAUUUGUAUAAACAUUAACAACUUUGAGUUAUAUUAGUUUAUCUCGUUAACAAGUAAGUGUGUGGGUCAGUAAAACACUAGAUAAUGUCGAGAUAGUUAGAAAGUAACAAAAUUCGCACAUCUUCCUUCUUGGCCUUGGAAGUUUCAGGGUCUAUCUCUCUAGUAAGGUUGGAUGAAACUAAACAAACAAAAGUCAACCAACCACAAAUUCCUAAACCAUUAAUGGAACCACUCUGUAAGAAAUACCUCCCAAUUUUGAGAUCUUACCACUUUUGAGCAAAUAGGAGGAGAAAGUUGAAGACGAACUUUCAAUCAACCCAAUCAACCCAGAUUGCGAGUUUGAGGUCUUAGAUAUCCCCUCUAUUCAUUGAUGAUGGUGAACCUCAUUCAGUUACUUAUGAUGUUUAAUUUAAAGUCAGAAGGAUCAUGACCCAGUUGAUCAUUGUCUACUUUUAUGAUAUUUACAAUACGGGGACAUCUUUUCACUAAACUUGAUUGAGGUUCCGAAAAGUAAGGAGACAGGAUAGUUUGAUAUCCAUGGGAAGAUAUAACUACAAAGGAAAAGGAAAAUCUACAACAAAGAAUAAGGAAAAUCAAUGAUAAACCCGAUUAUAGUGUUUGGCAAAUGGCCUUGUACACCUUCCUAACUGAACAAACAUGCAAUAGGUGAAAGGAAGAAUCAUGAUGUUGAGAAGAAGCUCAGAACACUCGUGUUUUUAUUAGCUUAUUGGUCCUUACCACGAGCCAUUAUGUUAUUGGCAUCGCCAUACUCAUAUAGCUUGCCACAUGACCUAAACCACCGGAAGACGCAUGUCUUGAAACCCAUUGGAGCACGCUGUUCGUUCUCUGACUUAAACCAAGCCUCCGAAUAGCCGAACGAAUCAAGCAAAGGAGACAAUUGAACUGAUAAGUAUGACAAAAUGAGCUACACUGACAAAAUGAGCUCCGAAGUGUAGGUGGCCAAACACCACGACUGCGCAAGUUUAUGUGACAGGUCUCAAAAUCAUUUCUAGACUGAGAUCUAUCUCGGACGCCAUAUUGGCAGCCCACAUUGUCUAAAUUCAUGCAUCAACACAUGAGCGUUACAUAUGUAGCUCACUGAGUGACAAUUAAGAUUGUUGCUGUGGUACAUUCCAUUUCUAAGCAUAUGAAUUCAAACAUGACUUCAAGGAA